rnacentral:lncRNA from 1 species
AGGGAAAUAAAAUGUCCGUUCACUGGAGUGAGAAGACUGCAAAUCUCUCGUAGAAAGCAGCCUCUGUCCUACUGUAAGCACUUCUGGGGCCAGCAUCCUGACUAAACACACAGCUCACAUUCAAGCAUGUCUGACGUACUGGACACGAGCCGAGCCCUUGACCUGAAAUGUCUGUGUUGAAAGUCCCACGAGGUCCAAAAUGGUUUUUGGGAGACUCCGAAGCCCAACCUACUCUGCUCCUGCUGGAUGCUUUCUGCAAGGCCAAAACCCAAGCUCCCCGCGGCCCUGACUCCUCCUGCCCUAUACCGGUCGCGUCUUCCAGGGCGCACGGGCGUCGCGGAGCGAGCGAUCGUGGGGCAGCGCAGCAAAGGCCGAGUGGCGCAGCUGGCAGCCGAUAAAGAGGACGACGAGCGCCACGGACAGCAGCAGGAGGAAGAAGAGCAGCAGGUAGGUGGGCAGGUCGGGCUUGGUGGCCGAGCCGUCCCGAA